AUCGAGGCUAGAGUCACGCCCUGAUACUGCCCAUUGUCCUGGUGUGCUAGAGUACUCGUAAAGUAAAAUCUUUGUAUAUUCAUUGGCUGUAGUCUACUGUGGCCCAGUCAAUCACCAACUCAGAGACACUC
rnacentral:snoRNA from 1 species